GGAAUGAUGGGAAUCUAAACCCUUCCCAGAGUAUCAAUUGGAGGGCAAGUCUGGUGCCAGCAGCCGCGGUAAUUCCAGCUCCAAUAGCGUAUAUUAAAGUUGUUGCAGUUAAGAAGCUCGUAGUUGAAUUUCUGCCUUAUCAUUAAUUUCGCUUCCGAACGUAAUUUUAUUGAUUUGGCAUCUUCUGGAUUAUAUAUUAUUUUUAAUAUAUUUUUCCAGUAUUUUACUUUGAGAAAACUAGAGUGUUUCAAACAGGCUUUUGCCUUGAAUACUACAGCAUGGAAUAAUGAAGUAGGACUAUUGGUUCUAUUUUGUUGGUUAUCGAACCAUAGUAAUGGUUAAUAGGAGCAGUUGGGGGCAUUCGUAUUUAACUGUCAGAGGUGAAAUUCUUAGAUUUGUUAAAGACGAACUACUGCGAAAGCAUUUGCCAAGGAUGUUUUCAUUAAUCAAGAACGAAAGUUAGGGGAUCGAAGACGAUCAGAUACCGUCGUAGUCCUAACCAUAAACUAUGCCGACUAGAGAUUGGAGGUCGUCAGUUUAAACGACUCCUUCAGCACCUUGAGAGAAAUCUCA
rnacentral:rRNA from 1 species